AUGGAGGAUGAUAAACCCAUUCUAACAGACACUAAAAAGACUAGGAGGACUAGGAACACACGUCAUGUUGUACAUUCUGAUGAAGAAUCAGAAAAUCUGGAUAGUCAAGAGAAAGAUGAAUUCAUAUCUGUUGUUGAUAAGGAAUCUAAGAAAAAGGGAAUUAAAAAAGAUAGCCAUGAGCAAGCGGACAAGUUAUCAGUUAUGAAAACUAUAAAGCAAGAACCAGAGGAUGGUGAACCCACUAUUAACCGGACUAAAAGGGGUAGGAGAAGUAGCACAACUCAUGUUGUACACCUUGAUGAAGAACCAAAAACUGAAGGUAGUCAGGAAAUAAUGAAAUCAAAAUCUAUGGAAGCAGGCCCCAAGAGGAAACGCGCCGUAACUCGCAAAUGUGCUGGUAUUGAUAGCAAACAAGUAAAGAAUCACCAUGAAGAAGAAUCAGAACAGGCAGGUACUGAGGAGCACAAUGAUUCAAGGCCUAGGACAAGGCGUAGUUGUGUCAAUAAAGAAUUGAUGAACAAAGACAUUCAGAAGUGUGGUGUAUCAAGAACUCGAAAGUCAAAUCGUUGA
rnacentral:rRNA from 1 species